rnacentral:rRNA from 1 species
UCCAGACUCCUACGGGAGGCAGCAGUGAGGAAUAUUGGUCAAUGGGCGAGAGCCUGAACCAGCCAAGUCGCGUGAGGGAGUACUGCCCUAUGGGUUGUAAACCUCUUUUGUCGGGGAGCAAAAGCCGGACGUGUCCGGCUGUGAGAGUACCCGAAGAAAAAGCAUCGGCUAACUCCGUGCCAGCAGCCGCGGUAAUACGGAGGAUGCGAGCGUUAUCCGGAUUUAUUGGGUUUAAAGGGUGCGCAGGCGGAGGUGCAAGUCAGCGGUCAAAUUGCGGGGCUCAACCCCGUACUGCCGUUGAAACUGCAUCCCUUGAGUGCGCGAGAAGUAUGCGGAAUGCGUGGUGUAGCGGUGAAAUGCAUAGAUAUCACGCAGAACUCCGAUUGCGAAGGCAGCUUACUAAACUGCCACUGACAUUGAUGCUCGAAAGUGUGGGUAUCAAACAGGAUUAGAUACCCUCGUAUG